CGUACUAGAUGGGGAGUCAGCGGUGCCCUGUAACCUGCAAUCCGCUAUAGCAGGAUUGAAUUCCUUGCUUAGGUUUUAAUCUGUAUGGUCUGGCCUAUUUAAGUGGCGUUGAGAAUUGGGCCCCACGCAAUGAAAACUCAUGAACCUCGUCAGGUCUGGAAGGAAGCAGCGAUAAGUGAGACCUUUCAUGUGCCGUGGGUCAACCUGGUUUGAGUUAACUGGAUAGGUAACGCGUAUAGAUUAAUUAUCAAAGCAAGGUGUACG
rnacentral:SRP_RNA from 1 species